rnacentral:tRNA from 1 species
UCCUCUGUAGCUCAGUGGUAGAGCUAUCGGCUGUUAACCGAUUGGUCGUAGGUUCAAGUCCUACCGGGGGAG